rnacentral:rRNA from 1 species
UACGUAGGUGACCAGCGUUGUCCGGAUUUACUGGGCGUAAAGAGCGCGCAGGCGGUCGUUCAAGUCGAGUGUGAAAGCCCCCGGCUCAACUGGGGAGGGUCACUCGAUACUGAUCGACUUGAAGGCAGGAGAGGGAAGCGGAAUUCCCGGUGUAGUGGUGAAAGUGCGUAGAUAUCUGGAGGAACAUCGGUGGCGAAGGCGGCAUCCUGGACCGGUAUUGACGCUGAGGCGCGAAAAGCCAGGGGGAGCAAACGGG